rnacentral:rRNA from 1 species
AGGACGAACGCUGGCGGCGUGCUUAACACAUGCAAGUCGAACGGAAAGGCCCGCUUGCGGGUACUCGAGUGGCGAACGGGUGAGUAACACGUGGGCAACCUGCCCCUAGCUCUGGGAUAACAUUUGGAAACAGAUGCUAAUACCGGAUACCAACUCGCUGAGGCAUCUCGGCAAGUUGAAAGUUUUUCGGCUAGGGAUGGGCCCGCGGCCUAUCAGCUUGUUGGUGGGGUAACGGCCCACCAAGGCGACGACGGGUAGCCGGCCUGAGAGGGCGACCGGCCACACUGGGACUGAGACACGGCCCAGACUCCUACGGGAGGCAGCAGUGGGGAAUAUUGCGCAAUGGGCGAAAGCCUGACGCAGCGACGCCGCGUGAGGGACGACGGCCUUCGGGUUGUAAACCGUCUUUCAGCUCUGACGAAGCGAAGUGACGGUAGGAGCAGAAGAAGCACCGGCCAACUACGUGCCAGCAGCCGC